AUUGAACGCUGGCGGCAGGCCUAACACAUGCAAGUCGAACGAGUGGCGGACGGGUGAGUAAUGUCUGGGAAACUGCCCGAUGGAGGGGGAUAACUACUGGAAACGGUAGCUAAUACCGCAUACCAUCAGAUGUGCCCAGAUGGGAUUAGCUAGUUGGUGGGGUACUGGCUCACCAGGGCGACGAUCCCUAGCUGGUCUGAGAGGAUGACCAGCCACACUGGAACGGAGACACGGUCCAGACUCCUACGGGAGGCAGCAGUGGGGAAUAUUGCACAAUGGGCGCAAGCCUGAUGCAGCCAUGCGGCGUGUAUGAAGAAGGCCUUCGGGUUGUAAAGUACUUUCAGCGGGGAGGCGUUACCCGCAGAAGAAGCACCGGCUAACUCCGUGCCAGCCGCCGCGGUAAUUC
rnacentral:rRNA from 1 species